AUACAAAUGACUUCUUUUAGAGAACCACUGAAUGGAAUGAAACCAAACAUAGUAUGAAUGUUCCUUAUGAGGUGCUGACCAAGUGUUGUUUCUUUGUAGCCGAUCUGUCAUCCAAGAUGGCCGCCAGCGGGGCACUUAGUUUAACAUAGGACCCUAUUGGAAAUUCAUACAAAUGACUUCUUUUAGAGAACCACUGAAUGGAAUGAAACCAAACAUAGUAUGAAUGUUCCUUAUGAGGUGAUGACCAAGUGUUGUUACUUUGUAGUCAAUCCAUCAUCCAAUAUGGCCGCCAGUGGGGUGACUUUGUUUAACA
rnacentral:lncRNA from 1 species